rnacentral:rRNA from 1 species
AAUGAACGCUGGCGGCGUGCUUAACACAUGCAAGUCGAACGGUAACAGGGACUUCGGUCUGCUGACGAGUGGCGCACGGGUGAGUAAUGCAUAGGUAACGUGCCCCUUAGUCUGGGACAGCCACUGGAAACGGUGAUUAAUACUGGAUAUUCCUUCUUAUGUGAUGUAAGAAGGGAAAGGCUUUUCGCUAAGGGAUCGGCCUAUGUUGUAUCAGCUAGUUGGUGAGGUAAUGGCUCACCAAGGCGAUGACACAUAGCGGGUUUGAGAGGAUGAUCCGCCACACUGGUACUGAGACACGGACCAGACUCCUACGGGAGGCAGCAGUGAGGAAUAUUGCACAAUGGGGGAGACCCUGAUGCAGCAACGCCGCGUGGAG